rnacentral:rRNA from 1 species
AAACUCAAAUGAAUUGACGGGGAGCACACGAACGGUGGAGCUUGCGGUUUAAUUGGAUUCAACGCCGGAAAUCUUACCGGGACCGACAGCAAUAUGAAGGCCAGGCUGAAGACUUUGCCGGAUUAGCUGAGAGGUGGUGCAUGGCCGUCGUCAGUUCGUACUGUGAAGCAUCCUGUUAAGUCAGGCAACGAGCGAGACCCACGCCCACAGUUGCCAGCGUACUCUCUGGAGUGACGGGUACACUGUGGGGACCGCCGCUGCUAAAGCGGAGGAAGGAAUGGGCAACGAUAGGUCAGUAUGCCCCGAAUAUCCCGGGCUACACGCGAGCUACAAUGGUUGGUACAAUGGGUAUCUACCCCGAAAGGGGACGGGAAUCUCCUAAAACCAAUCUUAGUUCGGAUUGAGGGCUGCAACUCGCCCUCAUGAAGCUGGAAUCCGUAGUAAUCGCGUUUCAACAGAACGCGGUGAAUACGUCCCUGCUCCUU